AACGCACCUUGCGCCCUUUGGCUAUUCCGAAGGGCAUGCCUGUUUGAGUAUCAUGAACACCUCAACCCCCACGGUUAUCUAUGGUGGGCUUGGACUAUGGAGGAUUUGCUGGCUUGUUGUCGGCUCCUCUCAAAAGAAUUAGCUUACCGGCAUGUGGUGGCAUCACGAGUGUGAUAAAUAUCUGCGCUUGUGGUAGCCCCUGGAUGACCUCCGUCCUUGGAGGUCUGCUGGAGCUUAUAGAUGUCUUUCUUUAGCAAAGACGGCUUCUGAACGUUUGAUCUCAAAUCAGGUAGGACUACCCGCUGAACUUAA
rnacentral:misc_RNA from 1 species